UGCUGCCAUAUUAUGUUGAAACACCGAUUCCCCUACAAUUACGGAAGUUAAGCAACGUCGGGCCUAAUCAGUACCGAGAUGGUUUACCGCUUGGGAACACCAAGUGUUGUAA